GGAAUAGUCCUCCAUUGUUGGUGGGACUGAAAAUGAAAGAUCCCCGAAGAGAGACCCUUACUCAAGUCUCGGGAAGUCGCGGACCCCAGAAACAGAGAGACCA
rnacentral:pre_miRNA from 14 species